CCUCCCUUGACUUCUCAAGGGUCUUGGGACGUGGAGAUGCUCACACAUGUUUUGGUGCAGUGAAGUCUGGCCAGAAGUUAAGGAACUGGGUUCUCGGUUGUACACCCUGAGAAGGGGAGGACGAUUUACAGUCCAAAGCCGCGGGUUUCUCUGUCCAUGCUGUUCUACCUCCAAACUCCUGAUGCCCAUGGGGUGUAAUUUGAUGAGUUUGGACAUUCUCCAUGACGCCAUCACUACAAUCAAGGUAAUGGACGUAUCCACACUCUGACUCCCCAAAAUGGCGUCUCCCUCCCACCUACCUCUGGGCUCCACCCCCUGUGUAGGCGAACAAACUACAGCAGCAAAGCCAUCGGAGAGCAAAAGAGCAUGCCGUUCUCAGACAACACUGAAAACUCUCAUCGCCCGGAGUUCGAGGAGCUGGUGAGGGCUUGAAGGAGAGUCAGAUCCCUAAGGGAUCUCUGCUCAGCGCUUUUCCUUAUAUAUGCGGCAAGCCAGAAGAGGUUUUAAAUCAAGAGGACGAUACCGGAUCCGCGCUUGAAACGAUAUUCUGGCGGCGGUGGGUUGGAUGGACUGGUCAUUGAAACAGUCAAGACAAAAGGAGCUUGAGAGACGGAGAUAGAUGAUCACUUAGCAGGAUCAAGGUUUGGGAGUUGGGGAUGUGUUCAAGGGGUUCUUAGAAGAAUUACUCCUCAGCACGAAGGGACCAAUGGAGAGGGAGCAAGGAGCCAUCGUAAUACUGGAUGAAAAUUUUCUGGUAUCUGACAUUAAUCAACUAGUAAACUGAAUGAGGAUCAUUCCAUUAACUCUGUUGGCAAAAAGACAAUCGUAAUGAAGAGUACCACCCAAGGAAGACGUAUGUCAUCCUCUUACUUGAAACCUUCCUGUGAUUUAGGACCUCACCGCUGUAUUUAAAAGAACGCGCUACUGGGAGCCCUUGCCGAAGAUCAACAUUCAUUAGCAACCCUACAAUAACAGCCCACAAGUGUGAAGACCGCCUGUGAUUGAGGAAGACGAUUUCAGUGAGGAACGAGACUCUCAUUUCCAACUCUCACAAGGUUGUCACGACGGCCAGAGAAUGAAAACACUUUUAUGUUUCAAAUUUACGAAAGAGCCCUCACCACCACCACCACCGUCAUCAUCCAACAGUCCAUCCAGGAAAGCACUUGCAGCUGAGUUCAUCUCUUCUUUGAACUUCAAGACAAACGGGUAGCCAGGGACAAAGGUGAUGGGGGAGGGGGGCGGAUUCUGAUGAUUUCUUUGCAAAACGCAAAUGAAAAAUAAGCUUUCAGAGAUUUAUUUUUUUUUUUAAUACGGGAGUUGCAUUAGACUUACCUUCCUGCCAUUGUUGUGUGUGAAUGUGUGUGUCCGUGCCGGCUGAACUCGGGGUGUGUGAGUGUGGUCUGACCUGUGUGCACCCCUGUGUGUGUGUGUGUGUGUGUGUGUGUGUGUGUGUGUAUCUGACACUGCUGGGGUUAAGCCCCGUUGUCAGAUACAUUGUAGUUUGUUUUGUUUUGAGCAGUUACUAUGUCUCCAGGCACUUUGUUUCCUUGGCCUUUGUAAGAACCCUGCUGGAUAGGUAUUAGAAAGACAUUUUCAAGAUGGGAAAAGUAAGCCUCAGAAACAUCAGGUGACUCACUCAAGAUCACUGAGCUAACGACAGAACAGACAGCAGCCGGGCUGGGUCAGGGUGGGAGACAGAGGCUCGGGACAGCCCGGUGCCUUGUGAAGGCUCACACGUCUAGCAAGUGAUGACACAGCCAGGACCAAGCUCAUGCCUCUCGCCUGCUACAUGAUCUCAUCUCCCACACACCACGAUGGAGGGAGGCUAUCAGAUGGUACGGCGUCCCCAAACUUGUCUGCACUUCGGGAUUACCUGGGGAGUUUCCCCAAACACUGAUGCCUCCAUGCCACCCCCAGACAUGAUGAAU